AUGUGAUAUUCACAUCUUCUCUCUUUUUUUUCAUAUUUUUUUUAAUAUAAAAUAUAUUUUUAUUAAGUAUAAGAAUUAAAAGAUUGUUAUCAAUAUAACCACUGUCAUAAAAUUCAUUAGAAAAGAAAAUAGAGCAUCCAUUUUCCAUUAGCUUUAUUUCAUAAUCUUGUUUUAAUAAUAAAGGUAUAGAAAUAAUAUUUCUAAUGAUUUUUAGCAUAUAAUAAUAGUCUUUCAAUUUUAAAAUUUUAUCUAAAGGUAAAUCAAGCAUAUAGGUUCCCACAGCCUCUGCAUUAAUGGACUCUCCACUUAUACCAUAAAGCUCGAGAUCACCUCUUUUUAAACCUUUGAUAUUCUGUAGUCGCUAUAAUAAAUUACAAAUAUACGAUCCAUAGGUAGUAUCUAAUAUCCAAGUAUCAAAUUUUAAGCCACUCAAUGAAAAGCAGAUCUGUAUCAUAUACGUACCUUUUGGUGCUACACUUGCAUCCAGCUUUAAACUUGCAAGAUUAUUUUUGUAAUUAUACUCUCAAUGUCUAAAUUUACCGCAAAAUGAAUAGCUAAUAUCCAUAUGAAUAUUUUUUAUCUUUUCAUUAUUACUGACCAUCCUAAGGUCAGAAAUAUCCAAAACAUCGAAGUUCUUCUUUGAUAUGAACCUAACUUGUAAGUUCCUUAAUCAAUCUACAUAGUUG
rnacentral:lncRNA from 1 species